AGGCUUACACAGGUGCUGCAUGGCUGUCGUCAGCUCGUGUCGUGAGAUGUCGGUUAAGUCCGCUAACGAGCGCAACCCUCACUGUGUGUUACAUGUGUCACACGGGACUGCCGGUUUUAAGCCGGAGGAAGGCGAGGAUGACGUCAAGUCAGCAUGGCCUUUAUAUCUUGGGCUACACACACGCUACAAUGGUCUGUACAAUAGGUUGCCAAGCCGCGAGGCGGAGCCAAUCCUUAAAGCAGGCCUCAGUUCAGAUUGCAGGCUGCAACCCGCCUGCAUGAAGAUGGAGUUGCUAGUAACCGCAGGUCAGCUAUACUGCGGUGAAUACGUUCCCGGGUCUU
rnacentral:rRNA from 1 species